UGUUCUGUGGCGGAAUUGGUUAACGCGCCCUGUCUAGCGAACUUGGGGAGACGUGGGUUCAAACCCCACCAGAACUA
rfam:Aedes albopictus isolate Foshan contig91459, whole genome shotgun sequence.